GGUGAUUAGCACGGCCCCUGCGCAAGGAUGACACGCAAAUUCGUAGAGCGUUCCAUAUUUCU
rnacentral:snRNA from 1 species